AGCCGGGCGUCGGGCCCCCGGGGCACCGCGGGCGGGCUGCCGUGGGAUGGGCGGUCGGUGGCGGCGCUCCCCGACGCCGGGCCGCCGGCGGAGUCCUCCCGGCGCGAAUGCUUUCCCUUUCUGCAUGUCCUCUUUCUUGUAAGCCAGACGUCAUUUUUUCAUUGCGAAGACCAAAUGCGCGGAACGUGAGCGGUCAUUUCGAGGGGCCGCACCUGGGGACGGAGCCCAAGCCCCCGCUCUGUUUGAAGAAUAGCCGCGUCUGUUUGCCACACUUCCGCGCCCUCGUUUUUUCGCCACCCUCCUCCUCUUCCUUCCCGCCGAGGGUGAUGAGAACUACAGGACUGAUUGCCUGAACUCCUGGGCCUUUCAUCCAAAACCCGAACCAAAGAGGGUUGAGGUCUUCUCAGGAGGCAGUUGGAAGGGGCAUGUUUGUUGGCAGUGUUUGAGGAAUUGUGGCAAGCAGAAGCGGUCACAGAACAACGGAUAGAAGCGAGUGUACUGCAGAAAGGGGGGAAAAUGGAUUCCAUAGACCACAAACGGGACCACACCUGUGGCACAUGAAGUUUCCAGACUAGAGGUCAAAUCAGAGCUACAGCUGCUGGCCGACACCACAGCCACAGCAACACAGGAUGAAAGCCACGUCUGCGACCUCCACCACAGCUGACGGCAACGCCAGAUCCUUAACCACUGAGCGAGGCCAGGGAUCGAACCUGCGUCCUCAUGGAUCCCUGUCGGAAGAGUUAACCGCCGAGCCGUGGAGGGAACUCCCCUGACAACUUUUAUUACCUUUAAUAUUACUUUGUUUUAACCUCUCACGCGUCCCUUAUAUGAUGGUGAUGUUGGCAUUUACGGUUAUGAGGCCUCAAAUCCCGCAGUGUUCUCACAGCUUCCAAAGGCACCCAGGCAUGCUUUUCACCUCUCCCAGCAGUCCUGCAAACGGUUAAAAUGAGGACGUGAUGCUAAUACUGGAGUCUGAGACUUUAAAAAAAUCUUGAAAUUUCGAUGCCUUGCCCCAAAGGAAGUCAGCCCAGGCCCUUUCCACUCCCAUUUCCAUGGUCUUUCUCCUGACCUGCCAUCAACUCAUUUGUGCCCCCUCGGUCUGGAUUUUCUUUUUGUUACCUUCACCCCACCUCAGGAUUCAAUGCUUCCUCCUCAUUCUUGGUUGAAAUGCAUCAAGUCCAUAUUUUAUUCCCUUAGAUGCUCUGUGAAGUUGGCCUUCGAGCAAGUCUGGGGUUUGAACCCCAUACUUGCCUGCUAAUGGGAAGGGAGAGAAGCAUCUGCGAUUCUGUGUGCUUUGCAGUAAUGUUCACAGACGCAGCCGUAUUCCCCUUUUUGGAAGGAAGAAAUAGGUAUGAUGAUAUAAUGAGAUUUUCAUUUUCUUUCACUUGAUGAUCUGUUACGUUCCAAUUAGUCACCUAGGUAAAAACUCAGCUUAUUCUAAAUUAUAAUGUGUUUUUGAGAUUGACGUAAGCACUCUAAUCACAUUUCUGAAAUAUCCUCAUGGUGGCAAAUCUUCAUUCUUUUUUUUUUUUUUUGCUUUUUAGGGCUGCUCCCACGGCAUAUGGAAGUUUCCAGGCCAGGGGUCAAAUCAGAGCUGCAGCUACACCAGAGCCACAGCAACUCAGGAUCCAAGGGGCAUCUGCAACCUACACCCCAGCUCAUGGCAAUGCCAAAUCCUCCACUGAACAGGGCCAGGGAUCAAACCCGCAUCCUCACAGAUCCUAGUCGGGAUCCUUAACCACUGAGCCGCGAAGGGAACUCCGCAUCUUUCUUUAAAGGAAGAUUUUGGUUUUUGGAAAUGGCCCAAAGUUAUCAGAGCCAGUUGGGUAAAUAAUAAAAAUUACUGAGCCAAGCCAUAUCAUUUGUGAUUAAAAAUAAGGUCAAUAUAAAUAAAACCAGUAUUCUUGGGUGGUUCCAAAACUGAGCUGAAAAUAAUUUCAAAGAAACAGUGGCAGCAUUAUUAGAAUAUAAAUAUGUAAUCUUCUCGUGUAACUAUAAUCAUUUUAUUUGAUUAUAUAGUCGUAUUUGCUCUUUAAAAUUGUCUAAGUCUUGUUUUUCACACAUUUCAUAUCCCCUGAAAACCCAUUUGGUAGGCAACUGCCUUUUCAUAAUAGGGCUGUCUCUUGAGGAAGGGUCAUUCUUGAAGACACUUUACUGAAAGUAAAUCUUCAGUCAACUCGAAGUCAUUGUCAUGCUAAUGAGGGUUACAACCAACACUGCAGCUAAUCCACCAAUUAUAUUUGCUCUGGGAUGUACUGUGAGAAUUACAUUUUGUCCCAGUAGCUCCCAGCGACAUUCCCCCAGCAGCAGAUGGCUGGAAGCUAGUGUUAAUUCUUAUUAAGUGGCAAUAAUGGGUGGCAGGUGGGGGAGGGGGGUGUCAUAUUUUGUGAGUAGUGAUUGUAUUAGUGGUAGGACCCUGAGUUUAAAAUUUAAACUCUCCCUGAAGACAAUCUAGAGUGUCAACUACAUGUGGAUGAUUUAGAAUUGAUGGUUUCUGAGUUCAAGAAGUGAACUGCAUUUAUAAGGAUCUGUAAAGUCGAAUGUCAUCUUAGGCUCUUGAGAUUUGCUCUUUGAUUCUGUGCAAGGUUAUCAGCAGCUGCCUUGUGCUCAUCUUGCUUGGACAGACUUUUGAUGCCCUGAAAACAGAAACCUUCCUGUUUGUGGCAGUUACAAGUACCAGCCAUGUGGUAAGAUUUCUUACUGUUUGUGACCCUCGCCUAGAAGAGACGGUCUUUGAUCACUGUCGUCAUACCUGUUGUGUAGAUUUUGAAGUCUUUGUGGUGGAAAAUGGGCUGGCUGUCUUUACAAGUUUUCCAGGGACUUAAAGGCACACAUUCUUACUGUAUUUCUUUAAUGUGUGCAACACAUUAAAGUCAGAUACAAUGUUAAUAUUAACUGUACCUUGGAGAAAACCCCAUCACUCAAGCGUGCCAUUGUCGCCAUCCUUUACCGCCGCCACCAGCUGUACAGAAGUUCCUUCGACUUAGGAAAGUCUGCAGCCACUGUUUGUGUUGGUUAAGCAAGCACCCCUACUUUAGAAAACCACCUGAAUAUUUCUACAGUGUAUAAUAUGUCCAUUAUUAU
rnacentral:lncRNA from 1 species